AACAGGCGCGUGGUCCGUUAACUGUCGUCUUAGGUGUUCGGAGCAGCCACCACUCCUCCUCGGCUCCUCCACCACACGCACUCUCUCUCUCUAAAACCUUUUUCUCUCUCGUAGAAAUUACUGCUACUAUUAUACUAAUAGCUCCAACACUUCUUCUUCUUCUUCUCUCUCUGUCGCAUUUGAUUCCAGACACUCAGAAAUUUCCUACCCAGAAGCGCAUAAAAUCUUGAUAAAAAAAACCACAAACUUUCCAGGAUCUCCGGCAACAUUUUCCAGCGGAAUAUGAUUCCCGGGAGACCUAUCAGUCACUGCUAUAACUAUAAUUAUAUAUUGGGCAUUAAGUGUUAGUGGGAGAAAGAUUAGUGGGUUUUGUUUGAGUAAUAAUGGCUGCGGCAAAUACGAGCUCGGCGGGGCAGGUGGAGUCGAGCGGAGGCGGAGACGACGGCGGGUCGUCGGAGGAGCUGACGGCGAAGACGGUGAGGAAGAGGUACGAGGGGUUGGUGAUGGUACGGACGAAAGCCAUUAAGGGGAAAGGGGCUUGGUACUGGGCUCACCUUGAGCCCAUUUUGGUGCCCAAUUCCGAAACGGGCUUGCCCAAAGCGGUGAAGCUCAGGUGCGCUCUCUGCGACGCCGUUUUCUCCGCUUCUAACCCUUCCAGGACCGCUUCCGAGCAUCUCAAGAGAGGAACGUGUCCCAAUUUCAACUCCGUCGCCAAACCCAUUUCCUCCGUGCCGCCGCCGCCGCCGCCCUCGGCGGUGCCCGUCACCGCGCCGCCGCCGUCGACGGCUUCUUCCCACCACCAUAAUCACCGGAAACGGAACUCCUCCGGGACUGGCCACCGUGGGGGGACCACUAGCGGAGCUUCUACUCCUACUGCUGCGUAUCAAGUUCCUCCUCUUGCUAUUGUUGAUCCCUCUAGGUUAGCGUACUCGCCCGUCGACUUAGCCUACUCGCCCGUCGCGUCAAUGGCGACAUCUAUCGUUACGGCCGGCUGUAGUACUACUACAGUUGCCGCCGCCGCCGCCGCCGUCGGCGGCGGCGGCGGAAGCAUGUAUCCGCAGCAGCAACAAUUGGUGUUGUCGGGUGGGAAAGAGGAUUUAGGAGCUUUAGCCAUGUUUGAAGAUAGCGUAAAGAAGCUGAAGAGUCCUAAAACCUCACCCGGGCCGACAUUAAGCAAGUCCCAGGUUGAUGCCGCACUGGAUUCUCUCGCGGAUUGGGUGUACGAAUGUUGCGGGUCGGUCUCAUUUUCCAGUCUCGACCACCCAAAAUUCAAAGCAUUCCUCAAUCAAGUCGGAUUGCCCUCAAUUUCAAGGAAGGAAUUCGCAGGUCCGAGGUUAGACGCUAAGUACGAGGAAGCCAAGGCAGAAUCCGAGUUUAAAAUCCGGGACGCCAUGUUCUUUCAAAUCGCAGCCGAUGGUUGGAAGGCGAAGAAUCCGGGGCAUGUUGGGGAAGAGAAUCUGGUGAACUUGUCUGUGAAUCUCCCUAAUGGGACUAGUGUGUUUAGGAGGGCAGUUUUGACAAGUGGAUAUGUGCCUUCUAAGUAUGCCGAGGAAGUAUUAUGGGACACUAUAACAGAAAUUUGUGGGCAGAGUGUCCAUCAAUGUGUGGGUAUUGUUGGGGACAAGUUUAAGGGGAAGGCAUUGAGGAAUUUAGAGAACCAACAUCAUUGGAUGGUCAAUAUAUCUUGUCAGUACCAAGCUUUCAAUAGUUUGAUUAAAGAUUUCGGUAAGGAACUCCCAUUGUUCAAAAUUGCAACUGAGAAUUGUAUAAAGCUUGCGAAUUUCAUUAAUAAUAAGUCUCAAAUUCGAAAUAGUUUUCAUAAGUAUCAGUUGCAGGAGUAUGGGCAUGCUGGCUUGUUGAGAGUGCCAAUGCACGGUUAUGAAAGGUUGGAUUUUGGACCUGUUUAUACGUUGGUAGAGGAUAUACUGAGCUCAGCACGGGCACUUCAGUUAGUUUUGCUCGAUGAAUCGUAUAAGGUAGUGUCGAUGGAGGAACCAUAUGCCCGGGGAAUUGAAGAGAUGAUGAGAAGUCCGCAGUUUUGGAAUGAGUUAGAGGCUGUGCAUUCGCUAGUUAAGUUAAUCAAGACGAUGCUUCAGGAUAUUGAGACAGAUAAACCACGGGUGGGGCAAUGCCUUCCUCUUUGGGAGGAGCUAAGGGUUAAAAUGAAGGAUUGGUGCUCUAAGUUUCACGUGGCUGAGGGACCUGUAGAGAAAUUGAUUGAAAGGAGGUUCAACAAGAAUUAUCAUCCAGCUUGGGCAGCUGCGUUUAUACUUGAUCCGCUCUAUUUGAUUAAGGAUGCCAGUGGGAAGUACUUACCACCCUUCAAAUACCUAACCCCCGAGCAAGAAAAGGACGUGGACAAGCUCAUAACACGGCUUGUUUCUCGGGAGGAGGCUCAUAUCGCUUUGAUGGAGCUUAUGAAAUGGAGAACUGAAGGACUUGACCCCGUAUAUGCUCAAGCUGUUCAGUUGAAGCAGAGGGAUCCCAACACUGGGAAGAUGAAACUUGAAAACCCGCAAAGCAGUAGGCUUGUCUGGGAAACUUACCUCACUGAGUUCAAGGCAUUAGGAAAAGUUGCAGUUAGGCUUAUCUUCCUUCAUGCUACCUCGUGUGGCUUCAAAUGCAACUUGUCUUUCCUGAGAUGGGUAGGCGCCCAAUCCCAUUCAAGAGUGGGUGUGGAUAGAGCUCAGAAGUUGAUAUUCAUUGCUGCUCACUCGAAGCUUGAAAAGCGGGAUUAUUCCAACGAGGAAGAUAAGGAUGCGGAGCUCUUUGCGAUGUCAAACGGUGAGGAUGACAUGCUCAAUGAGGUUAGCCAUUGGUGUUGAAUUCCACGUGCGAUCAAGAGGCAGUUGCCAAAACUACUUUGAGUUAUGACUUGAAUCCUACUUUUCUGAAUACGAAGGUUGCCUGGAAUUAUGAGUUUGACGAUGAGAACUGGAUAGACCAGCGUGAGAUUACAAUUGAACGGGGAUGCUAGCUACCAAAAAAGGAUGAUCGAGGGGAAACAAACGAUUCAACGUUUCUAUCUUGAGUGCUUGCUUACCUGAUAGGCAGGUAGGAAACCAGGUUUUGCUAUUCUUGGGCAUCGGCCCCCAGACCUAUAAUUAAAUCUUUCUAGCUGGAAAACCACUUGAAAAUGUUGAUACCUCAUUGCUAUAUUCUGGAUUUAUGCGUCUUUGUGGGAAAGGGGCCCCGCCAUGAAACUAGUGCUAGUCUUUUCCAAAAUUUGGUUGUUAUAGAAAAAGCAAAAGGUCCUUAAGUUAAAUCAUCUUUGGGGUUACUUCUCUUGUAAACAUUUCAAAGAAUGUGUGUGUGUGUGUGUGAUGUCCAUACAGAGGCAUAGGGAUGAUGCUCCCAUCAUUGCAAAAAAAAGUUGUGAGAGGACCCAAAGCUGAACAACACUGUCGGCUCGAACCAACACAAAAGAUGUUUGAUAGUGAUUUGGCAGCGCGGAUUGACUAUAUUUGCUGAUUCCUGUUAACUUUGAGGAUUGGAAAAUCCAUCAUUAUCUGGUGGGUAGUCAAUCAUCAUUUCAUCCGCAUUUAACCUUUAUUUGUUUUAUCAAUCAAUGAUUGCUGUAAAUUUUAUUCCUUGCGUGAUCUAAUUGCUGUUCCCAUAUUCCCCAUUAACCCUCGAAUAAUAUCUCAUCCCAAACAAAUAUCCGCUUCACUAUGUUCAAACCGAAGCAGUGAAGGGGAGACUGUAAAAACUUUCCUCUCAGCUCAAAUGUACUUUUUUUUUUUUUAC